rnacentral:rRNA from 1 species
UUGAACGCUGGCGGCAGGCCUAACACAUGCAAGUCGAGCGGAUGAAGGGAGCUUGCUCCUGGAUUCAGCGGCGGACGGGUGAGUAAUGCCUAGGAAUCUGCCUGGUAGUGGGGGAUAACGUCCGGAAACGGGCGCUAAUACCGCAUACGUCCUGAGGGAGAAAGUGGGGGAUCUUCGGACCUCACGCUAUCAGAUGAGCCUAGGUCGGAUUAGCUAGUUGGUGGGGUAAAGGCCUACCAAGGCGACGAUCCGUAACUGGUCUGAGAGGAUGAUCAGUCACACUGGAACUGAGACACGGUCCAGACUCCUACGGGAGGCCGCAGUGGGGAAUAUUGGACAAUGGGCGAAAGCCUGAUCCAGCCAUGCCGCGUGUGUGAAGAAGGUCUUCGGAUUGUAAAGCACUUUAAGUUGGGAGGAAGGGCAGUAAGUUAAUACCUUGCUGUUUUGACGUUACCAACAGAAUAAGCACCGGCUAACUUCGUG